UCAAUGCAAAGGUAGACAAGCCAGUUGUUUCAUAUUUCUAUGUAUUAUGCAUGCUGUAAUGUUUGUUUCACAUAUAACAUUUAUAUAUUAUGUGUGCCUUAAUAUUUUUAUAUAUCAUGUUUUGCCCUGUAGUUUAAAAUUCAGAAAAAAUUUUAGGAUUAAAAAAAUAUAAUCAUCUGACAUAUGUCUGUUUGACACUUGAUGAAUAUGUAGCUGAGAACAAGAGGAGAGGUGGCUGAUUCAUGGGGGCAACCUCACUGGAGGGCACAAAAUUAUCUCUUUUAGUUUCUUUAACCUAUUCAUCUUUUGUAAUUUUACAGACCAAGAAAAAUCCUUAGGAAUUUUUAAACAACUUUACUGAGGUGUAAUUAAUACACAACAAACUGCACAUAUUUAAGUUGUUCUCAAAUUUAGAAGAGAGACAUCAGCAAGAUGGUGAAAUACAAAGUCCUGGACCCUCCUUCCCUCCACAAAUACACUGAUUUGACAAAAAUUCAUGGACAGAUUCCCUUUGUAAGAAACCAAGAAACUGGUUAAGAGGCUCUUAUAUCCCAGAUUUUGGUUCCCUGACUGAGAAUGAAUGCAUUGCUAGUGGAUCUGCUACCAAGGGCCAGGAGUCUCAGAGUUCCUCACAAGCAGCUGCCAGCCCAAUUUUGUCUGGAGGUGUGUUUCCUUCUCUCUGGCCCUACCACUGCCAGCCCCAACCAUGUUCCUGAUUGCCUCGGAAGAACAAUCUUUGCAUUUGACAUCUGCAUCCAGAUAGAUUUUGCAAGUGGAAGAUGAACAACAACAUGCCUCCUGGCAGCCUGCCCAUUGGGUCUCCACUGUUACCCAGGCUGGAGCGUAGUAGUGUAAUCAUGGCUCACAGCAGCCUCCAACACUGGGUUUAAGUGAUCCUCCUGCCUUGGCCUCCCAAAGUGCUGAAAUUACAGAAGGAGCUUAAAACUGUGGUUGGCCUAGGGUAAAGAGAAGAAGAUGAAUCUAAGGACCUGAGGAAAUCUUAAAGGAGGAAGUAAUAGUAAAAUCUUCCAGUUUUCAGACAAAAACCUUUCUCCAGAAGAUAGGACUGUAGCUGUUUGCUGCAAUUGAGAAAUGGAGCAGUGAAUAAGCUUUACUAGCUCUUUGACAAUUAAAAUAACGAUAAUUACGAAUCCUACAAGUUUCUCAGACAGUUGACUUUCCAGAGUGAAACUUUAUAGAAAGAAGCCUGAUAUGGUAAUUGAAGGGGGAUGCUCUUAAAGAUAUGAACUAUUUGGUGAGUUCAGGAUAUGCCAUCUCAAAGCCAAGGUGACAGAAUGGAAUAAGGAUAUACAGCUUCCAAGUUGUUCUUCAAGCUCAUCUCCA